AUGAAGAACGUAGCGAAAUGCGAUAAGUAGUGUGAAUUGCAGAAUUCAGUGAAUCAUCGAAUCUUUGAACGCACAUUGCGCCCCUCGGUAUUCCGUGGGGCAUGCCUGUUCGAGCGUCAUUUAACCCCUCAAGCCUAGCUUGGUAUUGGGUGCUUGUCCCGCCUCUCGCGCGGCGACUCACCUCAAAGUCAUUGGCAGCCCGCAUCUCGCCGGCCGUGAGCGCAGCACAGACGCGCUCUUGGCAACGACGGAUCGGCUCUCCAAAAGCUUAUUUCAACCACUGACCUCGGAUCAGGUAGGGAUACCCGCUGAACUUAAGCAUAUCAAUAAGCGGAGGA
rnacentral:misc_RNA from 1 species